UACCAGCACCCCGAGUGGUCGGGACGUUUAUUGGGCCUAAAGCAUCCGUAGCCGGUUCUACAAGUCUUCCGUUAAAUCCACCUGCUUAACAGAUGGGCUGCGGAAGAUACUAUGGAGCUAGGAGGCGGGAGAGGCAAGCGGUACUCGAUGGGUAGGGGUAAAAUCCGUUGAUCCAUUGAGGACCACCAGUGGCGAAGGCGGCUUGCCAGAACGCGCUCGACGGUGAGGGAUGAAAGCUGGGGGAGCAAACCGG
rnacentral:rRNA from 1 species